GAGAGAUGGCUUAGCGGUUAAGAGCAAUUGAUGCUAUUGCAGAGGACCUGGGUUCAAUUUCCAGCACCCAGGUGGCUCACAACCAUUCAUACCUUCAGUUCUAAGGAAUCUGAUGUCCUCCUUGACUUCUCCAGGGACCAGCUGAGCAAAUCCUUGCAGAUCCGUGCUGGGUUAUCUCGUGUGCCCAGAGGAUUCUUGAUGCUGCUCAGUAAACUGCUAAGGUCUCCUUCAGACAGGACCUGGUCUACAGCUUACUAAUGGGAGCUGUGUGUUCUGCUGCAUGGAAGUGCCCAUAGGAUAAAAGCUGCUUAUCAACAGUUCAUUCUCAAGUCGUGGCUGGUAAUUGGAAAAGCCAUUUAAGAUGAUGGAACAAUCAAUAAAGAACACUCCCCCCCCUGUCUGCACAUGUGGUUUUCAUAUUGGAAAAGGAUUCACUCAUUCUGCAUACAUGUAUUUCCAAACAUUAUGGAUGACAGCUACAAUUUCUCAAAGCUAUCAUAAGGUGGGAAGGCCAUGGACAAGGACAAAAGAUAACCUACAGUCCAGGCAUUGCAAGGACAGAGAGGACAAGAGGAACAGAGAGGCAGAGUGUGGAUGAAAGACACGUGACAUUGCUGGAAAAUCAGUCCCAGCCGCAGAGCAAAACUGAGGGAAGAACAGAGCUCCCAGUCUGCCGAGUGGGAGCCCCGUGGACAGCCACCCAGAACUAUCCUGAGUUAAACGACACAAGAACAGCAUGUGCAAAUAAUUAUGGCUUGGAAAGCGAAGGCUGACUGACCAUUGCUUGGAGCCAUUAGUGGAUGUCAACUGGGAAGGAAAUGUGAUCACUCGCCACUGUAUGUGAGCAGGAGACCAAUGGAAUGAGGGAUGGUUGAGAUUGGGGAUAUAGGGAGACUCCCAAUAAGAAGCAUGGGGUCAAAGAAGUCUUAGAAUAUGACAGUAGACAAGAAGAGAAACUAAACUUAGAAUAUUGUAAUGUUAGAGAUAACAGCCAAAGAAAUAGAAAUGUUAUUUAAAACGAGCAUAGCAUGUUUUAGGCUGUGGUAGUUAGAUCAAAAGCAAACACAUGAGACGUCUGAUGGUUUUUCCAUACUAGCAACUGACAAAGAUUCAUGUAAAACCUAAGAAGAGAACUCUGAUUCAAAAAAAAUAAGAUUUAAAAGAAAGAGCCCGGUACCAGAAACAAGAAGAAAUUGAGUACUUAUCAUGUACUACCCUCUGUGCUGGAGGCUCUCCUACUGUUUAAUGUUCAAAAUGAACCCAAAGCAGGAACUAUAUUCUCUCUUUUCUAGAUAAGAAAUAUAAGGCUUGGAUUUCGAGUUCUCAUAGUUGGGCUGGCUUAGCAAAACGAACUAUGGUAUACCAGAAGGACAGGAUGCCUUUCAAAGUUUAAAGUUCACAUGAUGGGGGUGGAGAGACAGCUCAGUGGAUAAGAGCACUUGGCCGUCAAGCAUAAGAACGUGUUAGCCACAGUCCCCACAUUAAAAUGCAGGUAUGCUUGAGCAAGCUUGCAAACCCCAGCUGUGGUGACAGGGUAGUACUGGUUACCAGCCUACUUCUAGUGAGAGAACCUGUCUCAAAGGAAUAAGAUAGAUAAUAGAAAAAGGAGAGUUGACGUCCUUCUUUGCCCCCCCCCACACCACAACACAUACAUACAACACACAUACAAUAGUCACAUACAACACAUACACAUGCACAUACAAUAAUACACACAUACAGCACACAUACAUACAUGCAUACAACACAUAUACAUAUCACACAGACACACAUACAUACAACUCACAACCCCCUCUCACAAACACACCCACACACCCAUAACCUCCUACCCCAGAGUUGAUAUGCUGAGACAAAACAGAAUGAAACCAACCAAGAUAACUUACUCUUGGACCAGGUGCUCCAGGUGGACCCUGUAACAUAUUCAAAAAACAAAAUGAAACAAACCAAAACCCAGCUGGUAAAUAUCUCAAAACCAGGCAGCUGAAUAUUAAUGGCAAACAGAUAUAAACAUAAAUGAACUCACAGGAGGUCCUGGUUGACCCCUUGGUCCUUGGGGACCCUAAAUGAAAGGAAGAGAAAGCACAAUAUAUAGGUAAUUUGCUUUUGGUUUGAUAUUAACCAAGAUCCAACCUCUGCCAUUGCCUAUUGAUGUUGUGAAUAUGUAAAUAUGUUUCCAUAUUUAGAAACUCUUGCUUUAACUAUGACCCACAAUUCUGAACAACCUGGAAAUUUAAUUUUUGCGGGGGGGAGGGAACUACUUGCUUAUUUUAACAAAUUAAAUAA